AUAUCGCCGGCCUUUACAAGAUCAAGUGUAGUAUCUGAAAACCUAUCAGUUUAUUCGAUACGUCCCCAUUCCAAAUCAUAUAUUAAAUGGGAUUUUGGGACAGGAGAUGGAAGAAGAGCUUGCUCUGUCCACCUUACACGCAUUGACCUGGUAUUGCAGUACCUCCAGGACCGUGCACCUCUC